rnacentral:rRNA from 1 species
GAGACCCAAGAUUAGGCGGGACUACCC